UUAAAUUCAUCCAUUACUUUAUUUCUAUAACUAACUUUCUCACCCACAUAGUCUUGCGGUUUUGAUUUGAACACGUAAAAACAACAUUUUUGAAGAUAAAGUUUAUCCAUUAUUUUCUCUUUCUCUUUAAAUGACUUUUACUAACGUGUGUGUGUAUAUAUAUAUAUAUAUAUAUAUAUAAGGGGUUUGUUAAUACGCGUACGCCUGUUUUUCAGUUGGUACGUUUUAACAAUGUGUAUCGGAUUAUAGUAGACAAAAAUACCCUCAUUUGUCAUGAAUCAUAACUUUUAAGGUCAAGGAUAUUUAAAUAAUUUUCAUUCUCAAAACUAAAAAAAGAAAAACGAAACCCCCAAACCCUUACUCACCUCCCUCAUUCCUCUCAACCCUUN
rnacentral:lncRNA from 1 species